rnacentral:rRNA from 1 species
UACAGAGGUCUCAAGCGUUGUUCGGAUUCAUUGGGCGUAAAGGGUGCGUAGGUGGCGGGGCAAGUCAGGUGUGAAAUCUCGGGGCUCAACCCCGAAACUGCACUUGAUACUGCCCUGCUCGAGUACUGGAGAGGAGAUUGGAAUUUACGGUGUAGCAGUGAAAUGCGUAGAUAUCGUAAGGAAGACCAGUGGCGAAGGCGAAUCUCUGGACAGUUACUGACACUGAGGCACGAAGGCCAGGGGGAGCAAACGGG